GCACUCGUAGUAUAAUGGAUAGAACGGUGGCCUCCGGAGCCGCAAAUUUGGGUUCGAUCCCCAACGAGUGCGCCA
rnacentral:tRNA from 1 species